UACGUAGGGUACAAGCGUUGUCCGGAAUUAUUGGGCGUAAAGAGCUCGUAGGUGGUCUGUCACGUCUGCUGUGGAAACGCAAGGCUCAACCUUGCGCGUGCAGUGGGUACGGGCGGACUAGAGUGCAGUAGGGGAGUCUGGAAUUCCUGGUGUAGCGGUGAAAUGCGCAGAUAUCAGGAGGAACACCGGUGGCGAAGGCGGGACUCUGGGCUGUGAACUGACGCUGGAGGAGCGAAAGCAUGGGGAGCGAACAGG
rnacentral:rRNA from 1 species